rnacentral:rRNA from 1 species
UACGGGGGGGGCAAGCGUUGUUCGGAAUUACUGGGCGUAAAGGGCUCGUAGGUGGCCAACUAAGUCAGACGUGAAAUCCCCAGGCUCAACUUGGGAACUGCGUCUGAUACUGGAUGGCUUGAGGUUGGGAGAGGGAUGCGGAAUUCCAGGUGUAGCGGUGAAAUGCGUAGAUAUCUGGAGGAACACCGGUGGCGAAGGCGGCAUCCUGGACCAAUUCUGACACUGAGGAGCGAAAGCCAGGGGAGCAAACGGGG